ensembl:misc_RNA Metazoa_SRP Metazoan signal recognition particle RNA
GCCAGGUGUGGUGGUGCACGCCUGUAGUCCCAACUACUCUGGAGGCUGAGGCAGGAGGAUCCCUUGAGUCUGGGAGUUCCGGGCUAUAGUGUGCUAUGCCAGUCUGGUGUUCACACUAAGUUCAGCAUCAAUAUGGUGACCUCCUGGGAGUGGGGGAACAUCAGGUUGCCUAAAGAGGGGUGAAGCGGCCCAGGUUGGAAAUGGAGCAGGUCAAAAUCUUAAGAAGAACAAGGGAGUAGAUGAUGCUAAAGCCAGGCCUGAGUGAAGACUGUGUUUUCUAUGUCACU